rnacentral:rRNA from 1 species
UGAGGAAUAUUGGUCAAUGGGCGUAAGCCUGAACCAGCCAAGUAGCGUGCAGGAAGACGGCCCUAUGGGUUGUAAACUGCUUUUAUACGGGGAUAAAGUGGGCCGCGUGUGGCUUAUUGCAGGUACCGUAUGAAUAAGGACCGGCUAAUUCCGUGCCAGCAGCCGCGGUAAUACGGAAGGUCCGGGCGUUAUCCGGAUUUAUUGGGUUUAAAGGGAGCGUAGGCCGUCUGUUAAGCGUGUUGUGAAAUGUCGGGGCUCAGCCUGGGCAUUGCAGCGCGAACUGGCAGACUUGAGUGCGCAGGAAGUAGGCGGAAUUCGUCGUGUAGCGGUGAAAUGCUUAGAUAUCACGAAGAACUCCGAUUGCGAAGGCAGCUCACUGGAGCGCAACUGACGCUGAAGCUCGAAA